rnacentral:misc_RNA from 1 species
AAAAAAAAAAAAAAAAAAAUAGAGCCAACAAAUAUUCUGUUUGUUAGAUGUCACGUGCCUCUUGAUUUUAGCUGCAGCUUCCUCCUCUUUAAAUAUAAAGGAAUUUGAUCUGUCCAACUUAAUCACAUAUGAAUGAUCUUGAACUGCUCUCCGCAUCUUGUAUUUGGCUAAGUUUUUUCCGUUCUUGAUGUUAAAUCUGUUGUCUUAGUUUAGAGUUGUAUUGAUUGUUUGUAUUUUAAGUAUAUUAUGUGUAAUCUCCUCCCAAUGAAAACUAUGUUUUAUGUUAAAAAAAGGUAAAUUAUAAAUUAGCCCUUUAUGUAUUUUUAUGAGAAACAAUUUAGUUCCUGAAAUUUAAUUUUAUUAAUAUAUUAGUCACUAUCAUUAAAAUAACCCAAUUUAAAA